UUGAGUCUUUAUUGAAACAACGAUCCUCUGAUUCUCAAGUUGUUAGAAAAGUGUCUAUUGAGUUCAUAGGCUUUGAUACUAUUCUUUUGUCUCAGGGACUCCUGUGGACUGCAUUUCGUAAGGAUUAUCCGGAGCCCUUCUCGCUUGGUCAAAGCCAAUACUGGUAAUUAGUGGAAUCAAUCAGUGAUCAAGCUGUGGGCUGGAGCCAGGGAACACACUCUCUGUCAGAACCGUAUUCACCAUCAUCAAAGCAUCAUUUGGGAAGAGGUGAAGAAACAACUGAAGGCGAAGAAAUGGUUUCUUGGUUCAGUAGCUGGGCCUCCAAGCAUUGCCCUGAUGCAAAGCAUAUGAAUGUUGGCAGUGACACACAAUUAAGACAGCUGUUUUUCGGUGGCAUUACUAACAGGUGAAGCGAAUACAUGUGACAGAAGAAGCCAAGACAUGACAUUGGUAUGUUUCGCUCACUCAUAAGCUUGUGUAUUUUGCAAUGUUUUAAAAACCGGACCGG